rnacentral:rRNA from 1 species
AGAGUUUGAUCCUGGCUCAGGAUAAACGCUGGCGGCGUGCAUGAGACAUGCAAGUCGAACGGAUCUUCCGGGCUUGCUCGGAAGGUUAGUGGCGAACGGCUGAGUAACGCGUAGGUGACCUGCCCCGAAGUGGGGAAUAACUGCCCGAAAGGGUGGCUAAUACCGCAUGUGAUCGAUUGUUCGCUCAAUCGAUCAAAGCCGCAAGGCGCUUCGGGAGGGGCCUGCGUCCGAUUAGCUCGUUGGUGGGGUAACGGCUCACCAAGGCGACGAUCGGUAGGUGGUCUGAGAGGACGAUCACCCAGACUGGGACUGAGACACGGCCCAGACUCCUACGGGAGGCAGCAGUCGGGAAUUUUGCCCAAUGGACGAAAGUCUGAGGCAGCAACGCCGCGUGAGGGAUGAAGGCCUUCGGGUUGUAAACCUCUUUUCUCAGGGACGAUGAUGACGGUACCUGAGGAAUAAGCCACGGCAAACUACGUGCCAGCAGCCGCGGUAAUACGUAGGUGGCGAGCGUUGUCCGGAUUUACUGGGCGUAAAGAGCGCGCAGGCGGUCGGUCAAGUCGGAUGUGAAAGCCCCCGGCUCAACUGGGGAGGGUCAUUCGAUACUGAUCGACUUGAAGGCAGGAGAGGGAAGCGGAAUUCCCGGUGUAGUGGUGAAAUGCGUAGAUAUCGGGAGGAACACCAGAGGCGAAGGCGGCUUCCUGGCCUGUUCUUGACGCUGAGGCGCGAAAGCCAGGGGAGCGAACGGGAUUAGAUACCCCAGUAGUCC